CGAGGUGUAGCACAGUCUGGUCAGCGCAUCUGUUUUGGGUACAGACGGCCAUAGGUUCGAAUCUUGUCACCUUGA
rnacentral:tRNA from 1 species